GCUGGCGGCACGCCUAACACAUGCAAGUCGAACGAAGUAGCAAUACUUAGUGGCAGACGGGUGAGUAACAUGUAGGUAUCUACCCUAUGGCCUGGAAUAACACGAGGAAACUUGUGCUAAUACUGGAUAAGUCUUUACGGAGAAAGCUUUAUGCACCAUUGGAUGAGCCUGCACUUGAUUAGUUUGUUGGUAGGGUAAUGGCCUACCAAGACUUUGAUCAAUAGCUGAUUUGAGAGGAUGAUCAGCCACAUUGGGACUGAGACACGGCCCAAACUCCUACGGGAGGCAGCAGUGGGGAAUCUUGCACAAUGGAGGAAACUCUGAUGCAGCGAUGCCGCGUGAGUGAAGAAGGCCCUUGGGUUGUAAAGCUCUUUCGUCGGGGAAGAAAAUGACUGUACCCGAAUAAGAAGGUCCGGCUAACUUCGUGCCAGCAGCCGCGGUAAUACGAAGGGACCUAGCGUAGUUCGGAAUUACUGGGCUUAAAGAGUUCGUAGGUUGUUGAAAUAGUUGGUGGUGAAAUCCCAGAGCUUAACUCUGGAACUGCCAUCAAAACUUUUUAGCUAGAGUAUGAUAGAGGAAAGCAGAAUUUCUAGUGUAGAGGUGAAAUUCGUAGAUAUUAGAAAGAAUACCAAUUGCGAAGGCAGCUUUCUGGAUCAUUACUGACGCUGAGGAACGAAAGCAUGGGUAGCGAAGAGGAUUAGAUACCCUCGUAGUCCAUGCCGUAAACGAUGUGUGUUAGACGUUGGAGAUUUAUCUUCAG
rnacentral:rRNA from 1 species